GGCUGCGACAGCUGGGAGGCCCGCCGAGUGGUGGGGCCAGCUGCGGAUAACUUUCUGGAAAAGGCAGCUGCUAUGUCAUGAGGAUACUCAAGCAGUGUCACAAAGAGUUCUGCUUCGUUAGGAACUGAGGGCUCCUGCAACAUCCAGCAUCAACUUGCCAGCCAUGUGAGUGAGACAUCUUUGGAAUGGUCCCCCAGCUACAGUCAAAACUGCAGACGCAACUGACAUCCUGACAGCAAACUCAAGCCUGGAGCCUGAACCACCCAGAUUUAUUUAUAUGAGCACUGGGUACAGUCAGAAGUGCGGGAGGGUGAGAGA